CUAAUCGAGUUUUCAUGCUCAGGACUGGCUGAAUUUGCGCGCCUGCCAGAAAGCAGCAGGAGACGGAGACUUCUGUGAGAAAUGAAGAGGAUGGUAGCCUUCAAACACCCCACACUCAACCAUUUUAAGUAAAUUACUUGCAGUUUUCCAAAGUUACCAAGCUUCCUCCUGUAUUACUGUUGCACAUUGUGAAAAACUUGUACCAGACAAUUUGAAACAGGUCCUAACUGAAGUGCCCACGCUGAGACAACAUUAAAUCCUUUGACCACCAAGGAAUCUGGGAAUAAUGAAGCUAAAUAUUCAGCAUUGGAUUCUGGGUAUUGGUUUAUCUUCAUGUUAUUGCUAACGUCAAUCAGAAUUUUACCUACAAGCAGAUGUCUCAGGUCCCACAGGGAGGUGUAAUGUUCUCUAUGUAUAGCAACAAAUAUUAUAUUUGUUUUUGUUAGCGCAUCUUCAUGAUGAGUGACAUCUACCACAUGAGGAAAAAAUUCAGAAGCAAACUUAGGAUUUCUGCUUCCUAUGACCACAUGAUAGCCACAUCUAAUAAGUCGGAUAGUCAAGGACUUGGCAAAAUCCCCACUUCCAAUUACACCUACAGUGACCUUCCUUGCAUCUUUGAUACCAUUUAUGCCAUUAGGCAAAAAAGUUUCACUAAGGCUCUUAGGGCUUCCCAUCAUAGAGAUCGAUUCCAUGAUCCAGACUCUUCCAAGAUCACCAGUGGGGUCCUAGGGGAGAGAAAAUUAAAUGUUCAUCAAUUAUCUAUUACCAAAUAUCGUUAACACUUUCAGACUUUAUAAUAAUGUCCCUCAUUUCUAGAUGUAAAAUAAUUUGGCAAGAUAUAUAAAAUGGAACAAUGCAAGACACAAUUUGUAAGCUACAAUGGAUCUCUAAAUGGAAAAAUUAACUGUCACAAAGGCUCAAGGGGGCUUCUCAAACUUUAACAUGCACAGGAAUCACCUGAGAAUCUUGUUAAAAAUGCAGAUUCUGAUUCAGCAGUUCUCGAGUGAGCCCAAGAUUCCUCAUUUCUAACAAACCCCUGGGUUAUGCUGCUGCUGCUGGUCUGUGGAUCCCUCUUUGAACAGCAAAGCACUAGAUUACAAAAGGAAAAAUUGAAGUUUUCACCCAGAACUUUUUAAAACACAGUUCUAACAAGUCUGAUUACCAAGCUGCUCAGCAGAUCCAAGGAAGCAAAUCAGAAAAUAUGACCAUGAGCCAAUGUGAUAGCUCACAAGACAAUAGAAGACAGAAAUUCUAUUUAAACUAAAACAUUCUAGAGUCAUUUGUCGUAGAAGUAAACUGUCUUAUGUACUUCAGUAGCUGAUAAUUUUAAAAUUAUGUAAGAGUAAGGUAAAUCAGAUAAUAAAAAAAUGAACCCCUGGCCCUUCAAAAGAAAAAUAAUAUUUUAAGAAAAAUAGGCAUCAAAUAUACCAAAGGAUUAAUUAAAUAUCACAGACUUCUAUCAUUCACCCUCCAUACUAUGACUUAUUGACAAAGAUGGCUUUCCCAUGGAAUAGAGGGAUAAUAAUGAAUUUAUGGUCUUAAAUACACAGUACUUAAUGAAAUUUUUCUCCCCCCUUUACUCACUGGCUGCAAAGAGUAUAAUGAUGUUAUUCUUCCUGGAAAGAAAUAUGUCAAGUUCUUUUCUCUUAAAGUGACUAACGUCUGAAAUUCUCAUAUUUGUAAUAAUUUUCCAUGAAUCAGUCUGGCUGAUGGAUCUGAAUGAAAAUCACUCUUCUAUUCCACCCUCAUUCACAGUUUCUUUUACGCUAACAGCAGAUGUGAAUCACUUUAGAGGAUUUAAAGAAUUUUACAGGUGCUGGUUGAGUAUUUCAAAAAACAUGUUUGGGCAUUUUUACUAAAUGAAAUAUGAAAAUACUAGAGCCAAGAAAAUUUGACUUCUUUACCCUAGAAAUGGGUCACAUUCAAUGAUUCACUAAAACAUUAGUAAAUUAAUCUUUAGGAAGAUACUAAUAGUAGUACUAAUAGCUAGUAUUUACAUAGCACAUACUAUGUGCCAGUUCGGUUCUGUGCUUUAUAUAUUAUCAAUUGAUUGAAUCCCCACAACACACCUAUGACAUAGGUGCUAAUAUUAUCAUCCCUAUUUUACAGAUGAGGAAACAGACAUGCACAAGAUAAUUAACUUGCCUAGUGUCCUAGGAGAGAGAAAGUGGGGGAGCCAGCAUUAGAAUCUGGGCAGUCAU